AUGGAGGCGACACGGCCGCCGCCGCAUCGAUCCCCAAUCCCUAACCCAACCAACCCCUCCACUUUCCACGGCGAGCCAGUAGAUCCACCGAUGGCCGGCACCAAGCGUGGUGGGCGGAAGGGGCGGAAGGCGGCGGCUGGCGACGACAAGCAUUCUCCCCCCAAAAGGAAGGCGGCCAGCUCCGGCGACAAGGCCGGGGCGUGCGAGGCGUCCCUGCCGACUCUCGACGUCGCGAUGCUGCGGAAGAGGCUCUUGGAGGACCUGCAAGCCUUCCCCGAGGCGGCGGUGUUGGAGGAACAUCAGCUCAAGGAGGCGGUCGACAGGCUCAUCAAGGAGUCCAAGCCCGAGACCGCGACCCCGACCGCCAAAGGCAUGGUUCGCUUCGGCGACGAUUAG
rnacentral:rRNA from 1 species